rnacentral:snRNA from 1 species
AGCUUUGCGCAGUGGCAGUAUCGUAGCCAAUGAGGUUUAUCCGAGGCGCGAUUAUUGCUAAUUGAAAUAUUUUGCUUCCUCUGUAUGUUUAAUUUAUAGAUCAUUGAAAACUCGAUGUCCUACUUUUGUAUGAAGCAUACCUGUG